CACCAUCACCAAAACCAACAACACCAUCACAACCAACAACACCAUCACCACCACAACCAACAACACCAUCACAACAAACAACACCAUCACAACCAACAACACCUACCCCAUCAAAACCAAAAACACUACCACCAACACAACCAGAACCAACAAAACCAUCACAACCAACAACACCAUCACUAUCACAACCAACAACACCAUCACUAUCACAACCAACAACACUACCACCAUCACAACCAACAGCAUCACCACCACCACCACAAUCAUCAUUACCACCACCAUCCUCACCACCACCACCACAACUAACAACCCUAUCACCAGCACCGACAACACCACCACCCCCACCAACAACGACACCAACGCAACCAACAACGCCAACACCCCCACCACCAUCAUCAUCCGCGUCCCCGUCCCCAUCUCCAUCAGUGCUCCACGUCGACCAAUGGGACGUGUGCUCCACCCACUUCUCCACAAAGCCCCGGGUGUCGGCCCGCUGGCUCAAGGCCCAGAGGGAGGAGCUGACCCACAUGAGGGCCGUCCAACACGGCAACCAGGCCGUGGUGGAGAACCUGGUGCAGUACUUGAGUGAGGAGGUGGGGGAGCAGAGGUACGAGGACAUCAUCCAGGAGAACAUCGCCGGGAUCAAAGAGGGGCACGCCAGCUGCCAAGAGGCCACUCAGAAGGCCCUCGAGGACCUGGAGAGGCAACUGGAGGGGGACGUCAUGGAAACGCUCUCGGGGAUGCAGAGUCGUUGUCCCCCUCUCUCUAUCCCUUCUCUCUCUCCUCUCUUCUCUCUCAAGUCUGUCCCCUCUCUCUCUCUC
ensembl:lncRNA